AAAGGAAGUUGACGGGGCCCGCACAAGCGGUGGAGGUAUGUGGUUUAAUUCGAUGCAACGCGAAGAACCUUACCUGGUCUUGACAUCCCGGAGACCCUUAGGAAACUAGGGGGUGCUUCCAUCUGGAAGAAUCUGGAGACAGGUGCUGCAUGGCUGUCGUCAGCUCGUGUCGUGAGAUGUUGGGUUAAGUCCCGCAACGAGCGCAACCCUUGCCUUUAGUUGCCAGCAGUUCGGCUGGGCACUCUAAAGGGACUGCCGGUGUUAAACCGGAGGAAGGUGGGGAUGACGUCAAGUCCUCAUGGCCUUUAUGACCAGGGCUACACACGUACUACAAUGGCCGAUACAAAGGGCAGCGACACUGCGAGGUGAAGCCAAUCCCGUAAAAUCGGUCUCAGUCCGGAUUGGAGUCUGCAACUCGACUCCAUGAAGUUGGAAUCGCUAGUAAUCGUGGAUCAGCAUGCCACGGUGAAUACGUUCCCGGGCCUU
rnacentral:rRNA from 1 species